UUUGUAAUAAAAAAAGCCGAUUUUGGAGCUUUUUGGAGCCGCUGGGCUCGCUGAGUCCCCUCCCGCUGGGGACAGCGCGGGGGACACCGAGAGGUCCCCAGCCGAGGGUGGCAGCGGGACGGGCCCAGCCGCGGGGUGACACGGGGACGCUCAGGGUGACACGGGGACGCUCAGGGUGACACGGGGACGCCAGAACGUCCCAACCUAGGGUAAUGUGGGGACACCCCAGGGGACGUGGGGACACCCAAGGGACACCGAAAUGUCCCAAUCCAGGGUGUCACGGGGGGACCCAGGGGACACGGGGACACCCCAGGGGACAUGGGGACACCCCAGGGGACACGGGGACACCCCAGGGGACAGGGGUCACCCAAGGGCCACCGAAAUGUCCCAAUCCAGGUUGACAUGGGGGGACCCAGGGGACACAGGGACACCCCAAGGGGCAGGUGACACCCAGACGCCCCAGCCCCGGGUGGCACGGGGACACCCCAGGGCACAGGGGGACACCCAGGGGACACGGGGAUACCCCAGGGGACAGGGGUCACCCAAGGGACACCGAAAUGUCCCAAUCCAGGCUGACAUGGGGGGACCCAGGGGACCUGGGGACACCCCAGGGGGCAGGUGACACCCAGACGCCCCAGCCCCGGGUGGCACGGGGACACCCAGGGG
rnacentral:lncRNA from 1 species